CAAAUAACAUUCCACAGUCAUUAAAAAAAAAACAUACAUAUUGUCUAAUGUAGUCCAAGAGAUGUUUGAAAAAAAUGACAAGACGGCCACUGCUGGAACGCCUAUGAUUACAGCUCUACAUGGCCAACAACAAAGGCAAACUGACAUCUCACUGUUUAAAGAAGACUCCAAUAGUAACUAAUAGUGACUUCUCUUGAAAAUGGACAAAAUUUGGUAUUACCUGCAGAAAAAGUGCUUAGCCCCUCCCCCAAGACAUUUAUGUGGCAUUAGAUGACACUUCAGCUUUAACAACAGUGGAGAAGGGGCAGCUGAAUUUAGGAAUGAAAGGGAGAAUCUUGAAGAUGACCAAAGGUCUUGGACGUCCUGCAACUGCCACCACUAAAGAAGUCAUUGACUGUUUGCACCUUACGAUGAUUGAGGACAGGUGACUGACUAGGAAUCAGGUAGCCAAUGCUAUUAACACAUCCUGUGAGAGAGUCGAGAAUAUUGUGCUGAAUGAACUUGGCCUAAUGAAAAUUUUUGCUGUGGAUGUCAUGUUUUCUGACACCUGAUCACAUCAUGGGUAAUCUGAUAUUGUUUGAGGCAGAUCCAGCUGGUUUCCCAAGUCAGGGGCAAAGAGACAAUCCAUCCAGUAGAAAUACCCCUCCUCCAAAGAAGGUCAAGAUCAUUUCAUCAGCAGGGAAGGUGAUAGCCUCAGUUUUUUGGAUGCAAAAAGCAUUGCGUCUAUGGACUAUCUUCAAAAGGACCACACCAUCAAUGCCAACAUACUGAAGCAGUUAAGAAAGGCAAACAAGACCAAAUGCACAGGAAGAUUGAUAAAAGGGUUCUUGUUUUAUCAGGACAAUACUCUGAUACAAAAGUUUUACAUUUCAGUGGCUACUGUGCAUGACUGUCUUUGAACUGGUUGAUCAACCUUCCUAUUCUCAUAAUUUGACCCCAUCUGUUCCCUAACAUGAAAAAAAAAAAAAACCACAUGGCUGGGGACCAGUAUCACAGUGACGAUGAUGUUAUAUCUGCAGUUUUUUUACCAACAAGAUAAAAGCUUCCUCACCAAUAGGAUUCAAGCACUGCAACACCGAUGGAAGAAGUGUGGACCAUGUUGAAAAAUAACCUCAUUGGGCCAAUGUGAGUGACUUGGUCAGCCUAUGAAUUUUUCAGCUGACUCUUGUACCUGCGAACAUGUGGCUGCCAUCAACAUUCUUCUUUAGUUUCUCUCUCCAUCGUAUUAUAACUCUUCUAUUAGCCAAAUUGCCCUGAGUGUGCAGAGAUACUGUAUAGAGCACUCAGUGGCUAGCAAAUGAGCAGAGACUAUGUAGAGUUGAAUGGAUUCUUUAGUCUUGUCAUGACAACCUCUCUGGUGAUGAUGCUAUGAUAUAGGGUGCACCCAAUACACUGCAUUGGAGGCACAUGGCCUAGAAGAGCACCGUGCAACAGAAACCUAAAGUGAGUGUAGCAGAGAAACAUAGUACUUGGAUCCAGCUAAGGGGGCAAAGAACCGACUCACAUUGUGACAAUCCAUCCAACCCAUGCCAGCAUGGAAAGCAAAUGUAAAGUGAGGAUACUUUUUACUUGUUUCAGUCAUUGAACUACAGCUAUGAUGGAGCAUUACCUUGAAGAAGCUAGUUGAAUAAAUUGACCAUAGUAUUUAUUGCCGGAUAUUUAUUCUAUGGGUCUUUUUUUUUUCUACUGAACUGCUUAAGUCACUGGGAUGUAAACAAACUGAAAACAUAGAAAUAUACAUGCUUCUUUCAGUUUCCACCUACCAAAUCUUUGGUCAGCCUGUGGCUUCAGUAGAAGACACUUGCCCAUGGUGCUAUGCAGUGGGACGGAAUCCAGAACCAAACUUCUUACUACAAAGCCAGGUUUGCAUCAAUGGUGGUACAUGUCAAAGUACACCUACCUAAAUUAGAACUUUAUUAAGAUAACUGACACUUUGGUUGGAAGAUAAAGCACAGAAGUAACUUAACUGUUGGGCUGAUCCCACCAUUAUAAGUAUGAACAAUCUACAUACAUGCAGUAUAUUUAUAAAAACAACAUGGCUGAGCCAAUGAACAUAAAAUAUUAUUUUGUUCAGGUACAUAACAUAGAGCUGGUAUUAAUACAUGAAGUGUGUGUUCUUAUAACAGAAAUCUCAGUAUUUAAUACUUAUCUGCAAAACUAUUUGCUUUGAGCAAAAUAGGAAGACUAUUGAUAGUCAGCAGACCUGCUAGAGAUAACAAUUGAAUCUUCCUCAAAUUGCAUCUCCUACCUUCUGAAAAUAGGAAAUGCUAGAUAAUGUUGCUAGACCCAAGUAAACUGCUAACAAAAAAGAAAGGUGUGAUGGUCAGAACCGGAACAUCUUUGAUCAUAUCUGCUUGAUCAGUGCCAGUCUUACUUUGCUUGUAAGAAAGGCAAUGAUUUCAACAAUAUUAAACCUUGUUGAGUAAAGACAACUGUAUAAGGCAGAAAUCUCAUACUAUAAUGUUGACUUUUUCUAUU
rnacentral:lncRNA from 1 species